GUCAUAGAUACAGAAUAAAAUAUUUUCUCAAAUUAUGAAAAUGUACCACUGGUGGUGCACAUGGCAGUUGUGUGAAGUUUAGAAAAUUAAUAGAUAC